rnacentral:rRNA from 1 species
CGUAGGUGGCAAGCGUUGUCCGGAUUUAUUGGGUUUAAAGGGUGCGUAGGCGGUCUUAUAAGUCAGUGCUGAAAUAUCCCGGCUUAACCGGGAGGGUGGCAUUGAUACUGUAGGACUUGAGUAAAGUUGAGGUUGGCGGAAUUGACGGUGUAGCGGUGAAAUGCUUAGAUAUCGUCAAGAACACCGAUAGUGUAGACAGCUAACUAAGCUUUAACUGACGCUGAGGCACGAAAGUGUGGGGAUCAAACAGGAUUAGAUACCCUGGUAGUCCACACUGUAAACGUUGAAGACUCGCUGUUGGCGAUACACAGUCAGCGGCUGAGAGAAAUCGUUAAGUCUUCCACCUGGGGAGUACGCCCGGCAACGGUG